AGGAAAGCAGGGGAUCGCAAGACCUUGCGCUUUUGGAGCGGCCGAUGUCUGAUUAGCUAGUUGGUGAGGUAAAGGCUUACCAAGGCGUCGAUCAGUAGCUGGUCUGAGAGGACGACCAGCCACACUGGGACUGAGACACGGCCCAGACUCCUACGGGAGGCAGCAGUGGGGAAUUUUGGACAAUGGGGGAAACCCUGAUCCAGCCGUGCCGCGUGAGUGAAGAAGGCCUUCGGGUUGUAAAGCUCUUUCAGCCGGAACGAAACGGUCACAGCUAAUACCUGUGACUACUGACGGUACCGGAAGAAGAAGCACCGGCUAACUACGUGCCAGCAGCCGCGGUAAUACGUAGGGUGCGAGCGUUAAUCGGAAUUACUGGGCGUAAAGCGUGCGCAGGCGGUUUUGUAAGUCAGAUGUGAAAUCCCCGGGCUUAACCUGGGAACUGCGUUUGAAACUACAAAGCU
rnacentral:rRNA from 1 species